CCUACGGGGGGCAGCAGUGGGGAAUAUUGGACAAUGGGCGAAAGCCUGAUCCAGCCAUGCCGCGUGUGUGAAGAAGGCCUUCGGGUUGUAAAGCACUUUCAGUGGGGAAGAAAGCCUUGGGGCUAAUACCCUCGAGGAAGGACAUCACCCACAGAAGAAGCACCGGCUAACUCCGUGCCAGCAGCCGCGGUAAUACGGAGGGUGCGAGCGUUAAUCGGAAUUACUGGGCGUAAAGCGCGCGUAGGCGGUCUGAUAAGCCGGUUGUGAAAGCCCCGGGCUCAACCUGGGAACGGCAUCCGGAACUGUCAGGCUAGAGUGCAGGAGAGGAAGGUAGAAUUCCCGGUGGAGCGGUGAAAUGCGUAGGGAUCGGGAGGAAUACCAGUGGCGAAGGCGGCCUUCUGGACUGACACUGACGCUGAGGUGCGAAAGCGUGGGUAGCAAACAGGAUUAGAUACCCUUGUAGUC
rnacentral:rRNA from 1 species